CCAACACUAUUUGCUUUCCAGCUAAAAGCCAUAAUUUUUUGACUGCAUUUCAAACUUCUGCUCCUGCAAUGCAGAAGAGCACACAGGAGCCAGAGGACUCACAGCAGCUUACAGAGAAACACAAAAUUCAAGAGCAAAGAGCAUUGCAGCAAGUCAAGAGUGGUCAUGAAUAUCCUCCACUUCCAUCUGGACGUUCAGCACAGCUUUGAAAGAAACUUGGUGGACUGAGGCCAACUGAGAUGCCUGGGCUGCAUUCUGAAAGCAGUCCUCCUGAGUGCCUCAUCUAGGAUGGCAGCAUUCUGUUCUUAAUCUGGACACAUCACGCUCCUAAGAGCAUCUGCUGUCAUUGCCAAAAGACUGAUAAACAGAGCCUCAGAAGGAAGUAGAGAGCAUGGAUGGCACUGAACCUAUGAUGACACAAGUGAUGCUACCUCAGGACAGAAUUAGCAUCUGCCCACUCCUGUUCCUCCUACUGCAGAGGGAAUUCAAUACUACUGCUGAUGGGGAGGAGACAAAUCUGCAGGGAAAACGCUAAACUAAAACUGCUUGUGAUGGCAAGGAAAAGGAAAUCCUGGAAGAGGCAAGUAUCAUAUCAAGAGACAAAACUGAAGGAUAAAGCACUUAGAAAGUCCUAGAGGUAGUAAAAUACUCAUGGAAGAAGGUGACAGACAGACACGAGAGAUUGUUGAGUGCAAUUCAGGAGAGAGAAAAGAAAAACAA